GACGAACGCUGGCGGCGUGCCUAACACAUGCAAGUCGAACGAAGUGGCGAACGGGUGAGUAAUACGUGGGUAACCUGCCUUUCAAAGGGGAAUACCACUGGGAAACGAGUGCUAAUACCGCAUAGUGAAAGAUGGCCUCGGGACUGAGUAGCUAGUAGGUGAGGUAACGGCUUACUUAGGUGAUGCUACGUAGCCGGACUGAAGGUUGAACGGCCGCGUUGGGACUGAGACACAGCCGAGGGUCCUACGGGAGGAAGGAGGUAAGACUGAUAGGCAAUGGCGCGAGCCUGACGCAGGAACGCGGCGUGAAGGAAGACGGUCUUCGGAUUGUAAACGUCUUUGGACAGAGACGCGGUACCUGUAGAAUAAGCCACGGCUAACUACGUGCCAGCAGCCGCGGUAAUAC
rnacentral:rRNA from 1 species